rnacentral:lncRNA from 1 species
ACCCUAACAGCUAAUGAGAGGAAGCACAGGUUUCCCAGGGCAGCCUCGUGGCAUUUCUCUGUGAAUAGGUAAAAAGGAGAUGAGAGUAAUUCAAGCUAAGGGAGCAAACAGCAGGGACAGAGCGUCCCUCCCUCCCUGUCUGUAGAAAUCAGCAGAUAGCACACCUGCUGCUGCUCAAGCUCCCUCUGCCAAGCAGAGCAGCACAGCUGCAAGACACUGCUUCUGGCCGGCUGCUCUGAGCUCUGCCUGUCUUCUGGGAUGGAGCCCCGCCCAAGGCAAGUUCAACUGGGUUCUUUGGCAGCUGAAGUCUACACGGACCCAGCAGGGAGCGGCGGAGAAAAGUGCCUACUUUGAUGACUUAUUACCCUAGUGCCUUUGAUCUCCACUGUAGAAAAUGCUCUGCUCCAUUUCAGAACAGAUUGCCAUGUGCCCCAUUCUCUGGCCUGUGGAGCAAACCAGCGACAGACCUCACAGAUAGAAAUCCACCAUUGGCCAUUCACAAAGAGAGUUCUCCUAGUAAGGGGAGUGAAUGUGAUGAUCCAUAUUUCCUGGAAAAUCUUCCUAGAGGCCUGAGAUGAUAAAUAUUGCCUGUUCCAGAACAGGUCAACUCUAGCCCAGUUUACCCUCAAGUGCUAUCUAGAAGAUGUGGUUUUACUGGUCCCAGUUUUUCACAUACUUCUCAACCAGUAAGGCCUCACCAGGCAGAGGCUCCCCAUUGACCCUUCACUGCUGGACUCGAUCUUUUCUCAAGCAUGCUUGGUUACAUCUUGGUCUAUGCCAACUAAAUAAGAUGUGUGGGUGUUCAAGGAUGGAAGUAUCCUAUCUUGCAUGGUUAGCUUGGGGAUGGUAUUCAGUCUUCUCCAUGUAAUUCUUAUCUUAGAUAUAGCUGGGAUUUUACACUUCUCAAUACAAUCUCAUCUACAUUAUCUAAUUUGAUUCUUGUACAAACUUGGUGUAAUAUGCUCUUAUUGUAGAUUCAUCAUUUAUCCACCAAACAGAAGUGAGCCAUGCUAAGCUAGAUAUUGAGGACACAGUUUUGAAGAAGUGAUGUUCUCUGCCUUCAAGGAGAUUAUAGGCCAGUGAAGAAUAAAGAUAUGUAAAUGAGCAAUUGUAUUAUAGGGAAAUAACUGCUAUAACAGGGCUCCAUGGGAAAGCAUAAGAGAGAUAACAAUGUUUUGAGACCCAGAAGGCACUGUUGAUGUAAACCACUUGGCCUUUACCAUAUCAGUGCAUGCUGUUCUAUCUUUCAACAACCAGUACCUUUAUCUCUUUACCUAAAAGGGCUUUCUUUGGUCAUCCAGGCUAUUCAUCCCUUGACCAAGGACAGGUAAGCGUUACUGUACAAAUACCCCAGCUCCCUUGCUCCUCAGAUGGGUGACUCUAGGUGCAUGCCCCAUACUGUUUUCUAUACUUUCCCAUUUGGAUCAACCAGUUUCCCACAGUGAUAACACUCAGUUAGCUUCUUGUCCUCCCUAUCUCACUUUGGCACUCUCUGUGUUUCCUGGGAUCACAUUCCAAAUAAACUACUUGAACUCUAAUCCAUAUCUUAAAAUCACCUUCUGGAAGGACCCAAUAAGAGGGGAAAAAAUCAAUAAAGUAUCUUUUAAAGAU